AUUCGGUACCACACACAGACUCAAGAAGGAAGAUGACUUUGUGGUAAACGUAGUACCAUAUGAGAAGAAAAGCUAUGGAUGCCAUCAAAAAUUGAUAAAGCUACCAACUCCCACCUUAGUGCAACUUUACACAAAUAGGACUCCAAUGCGAUCGCCACUUUCAAAUCUUACAGCGAGCGCUUAAUGGAAUUGCCAACAGAGCAUGGAAAGUGCUAAUUCUGGAAUCUCAGCCCUGAGCUAGUGCCGUCCUAGGCAAACAGACUACACUCUGGACCACGGCCCACGAAAGGAUUCUUUGCAAAGCAGCCGUCAAGCUCUUAAGUAGGAGACACUGGCCUUACACAGGGUGAAGGCUAGAGAUGAGGAAGAAAGAGUUCCUGCUCUGAGAACAGGGAGGAGAGGAAGAGGGGCUCUGAGCACACCCGUGGCGGCAUUACACACCCGUGGCGGCACUACACACCCAUGGCAGCACCACACACCCGUGGCACCACCACACACCCGUGGCACCACCACACACCCGUGGCGCCACCACACACCUGUGGUGGCGUUACACGCCUGUGGUGGCACUACACACCAUCUGCAGUGGCAUUCUCCCUCUGUGGUUGUGUCAUCCCUUUGGUGGAGGUACUGCUGCCCUUUCAGGGAGCCUCCUGUUCUUCCACCCUUAAGUAAACAGACAUCAGCGGUGCUGAA